AUAGCCGUUGCAUGUGCAUAGUCUAAUGCAACGGAAGCUUUUAACAUGGCAAUAAAUAGGCCUAUUACAACGGCUAUGAGAAAGCCGUGGCAAUAGGGUGGUCUAACGCAACGGCCGAAUUUGAGGUGGAUGAAAAAUUCACAUAGGCGCGUAUAAUAAUCCAUUUAACUUCCCUCCUAUUAUUUUCCCUAAACCCUUCAUUAUUCCAAAUGAAUCGCCGUCAUUUAUCUCUCUUCUCCUCUGCCUCCAGUUUCUCCACCUCCGCCUCUCCUCCUUGACUUCUCUAUGCCGAUUUAGAAGCAUAAGUCCCACUCCCUGUCUCUCGCUCCAUGGAUGCCCCUCACCAUACUUCUCUAUCGCCAAUGUUGAAAAUCCUGACCACACGAUGGCUCUUUACUCAUCUAUCGAUUAUUAAUGAGUAUUGACAAUCUCUGGCGGAGUUACCAAGAAGCUUGUCUGUUCUCAUGAAGUUUGUUAAAUGUUUCCCUCUUUUACCCUUCUUGAUCUUGUUAACUCGGGUUGUUAAAUUGUUAGGGUUUUUGAAUUUGCAAUUUUCUUCAAGUUUUGCUCUGAUGAUGGUUCAAUUUAAUUUUGGUAAUUGUUUUUUUUUUUUUUUUUUUUGUAUUAAUUUGGAGCGUUUGUUGAAGGUAUUUCUCUUCAUUCUAUUCAAUGCACUAGAGGCGUGCCACUGUUUGCAAGAAGAUUAGAUUGGAAAAAUAAGCGAAAGUAAGCUUUCUACUUGUUUUCGAUUAAUUUCAAUUUAUUCUUCUGGGUUUAGAUAAUAUGAACAUGUAAAUUUUAAAGUUUGAAAUUCUGGGCUAGAUUAUUUUUAUUCUGUGUAAUUGAUUUUCUUAUAUUGUUUGGAUAAGUUGAUUGAAUAUGUUAUUGCGAGAUUUAUGUUGGUGAAAUUAGAAUUAAGUAAUAUGCUAAAAUACUUUGAUUUAUGGAGUUAAACCUCUUUUGAUUAAUAGUAAAGCUGUUUAGUUUUAGGGAAAUUAGAUUAGGGUGCUCCAAAGCUUUCAAUUUCUGUAAUCUACUUAUCAAUAUAUAUGUCAUGACUGUCAUAUAUAGAUUAGUAGUUUAUCAAUUUGAAUUCUGCAAAAUUAAUGUGCUUAUGAAACCGUCCAUUGCCGAUUAGUCAUUCCCUUAACUCACAAUAUAAUCAUAAGCUACCUAAAAGACCAAGUGUGCUUAAUAGAAGUUCUUUUUGCACACUAACUAACUGUAUGUUGUCAAAUUACUUGGUUGGUGAUUGCAUUUUUCAAUUUUCAAGGAGUUUUUUUUCCAGUAAAUAUACAAUCAAAAUAUAGUGCUGGAUCCAUUAUUACCUAUUGAUACGUAGUAAAAAAUUCUUAUUGUUACGGAGUAUAAAAUAGAACAUAGUCACCGUGAAAUCUAGUAAUAAAAGUAUAUAACCCACUUAGCUAUGUUCAAUUGAUGAAUUGCUAUUAUUUAAUUAAUUAACUAACCCCACAGAUUUGUUGUGAUGUUGUCAUCAAAAAGUCAAGAUUAGAAGAGUUUGCUUAUUAUUUAUACUUGUAUACUUGUAGCUAACAAUAGCUUAUAUAUACUUAUAAUCUAAUAAUAUAAGCACUGAAAAGACAAGCUAAGAGAGUAAAAAUAUCCGUAGAAAUAAAACGUGUUUUUGACCAACUCACUGAAGAUGCCAUGCGAUUGAUGGAAAAUGGAGAUUACAGUUGAGCACUUUGUUACUUGUGUCUCUGAUUGUUAGCUUUUGAUUAACUAUUUUAUGUUUCCAUUUUGCAAUAAUUAUAAGUAGCUUAAUUCUUUACUUAUCAUUGCAGUAUUUAUCAUGAAACCGAGAGGUUUUUGUACGUGACGCAGGUUUGUAUUUUAAGUUGCCAGCCUGUGAAUAAAAUGAAAUUUUUUAUUAUGUAUUUUUUAAAAUAUUAUAAUUAUCUGGCUGAGAACCCUUGAAUGUGAUUAAAUUAAUGUGAUUUCUGUUGUAUACAUGGGAUAGUUGAAUAGCUGUUUUAUGCAUGAUGAAUUAAGGUCCUCUUUGUGUGAACAUCUUUCAAAUUGUUAUAAUUUUUUUUGAAGGUAAAUGGUUAAUUCAUGUUUUCCUGUUUGCUUUUGUGCACUCCUUUUCCCUUUGCUUUUUAGUAUUGUGUCUAUACUCAUCCAUAUGUCUAGUUUUAGUAUUUUUGAGCCGAAUAAUGACACCUCUAUGCCUAGCGUGGACACAAGCACUCAGAUGGUGUGGAAAAUGGUAACCAAGAUUCAGAAAGUAUGGUUAAUGUCCAUAUGAUCUAUUUCUUUAUGUUUACAUUCUUUAAUACGAAUAUAAUAACAUUUUUGGUGAUAUAAUUCAUUCUCAUUUAUUUUAGGUUCUUGGGCUGGGCAAAGUGAUUAUGUAUACGAUGAAACAUCGGGGAGAUGGACUUGAUUGAAGAAACUUUGAACACUAAGUUGCGAAGAACUCUACCAGCAUCAAGUACUAGUAAAAGAGGUGGAUACUAAAGCUAAAGAAGAUGCUUCCUAAAUUGCUUUACUUGAGAAAUUGGAGAAGCAAAGAGAAAGAAAUGAUAAUGUGGACCAAACAAUUACUGAAAAUAUUGUUGGGGGACAAAAUGAUUAGUUUUAAAUUUUAAUUGUUUUUUUUUCUUAGUUUAACUAGUGAUAAUUUAGGUUUUGUAAUUUUCCUUAUAGAUAACAAUGUACAAACUUUCAAUUACUGAAAAUAAAAUUCUAUUUUUUUUGUUU